GACGAACGCUGGCGGCGUGCCUAAUACAUGCAAGUAGAACGCUGAAGCUUGGUGCUUGCCCCGAGCGGAUGAGUUGCGAACGGGUGAGUAACGCGUAGGUAACCUGCCUGGUAGCGGGGGAUAACUAUUGGAAACGAUAGCUAAUACCGCAUAAGAGUAGAUGUUGCAUGACAUUUGCUUAAAAGGUGCAAUUGCAUCACUACCAGAUGGACCUGCGUUGUAUUAGCUAGUUGGUGAGGUAACGGCUCACCAAGGCAACGAUACAUAGCCGACCUGAGAGGGUGAUCGGCCACACUGGGACUGAGACACGGCCCAGACUCCUACGGGAGGCAGCAGUAGGGAAUCUUCGGCAAUGGACGGAAGUCUGACCGAGCAACGCCGCGUGAGUGAAGAAGGGUUUCGGAUCGUAAAGCUCUGUUGUAAGAGAAGAACGAGUGUGAGAGUGGAAAGUUCACACUGUGACGGUAGCUUACCAGAAAGAGACGGCUAACUACGUG
rnacentral:rRNA from 1 species